AGAACGAACGCUGGCGGCAGGCCUCAAACAUGCAAGUCUAGGGGGUGUAGCAAUACAUCACCGGCGGACGGGUGCGUAACGCGUGGGAAUGUACCUAUUGGUUCGGAACAACUGAGGGAAACUUCAGCUAAUACCGGAUGAGCCCGAAAGGGGAAAGAUUUCUCGCCAAUAGAUCAGCCCGCGUCCGAUUAGCUAGUUGGUGGGGUUAAAGCCUACCAAGGCGACGAUCGGUAGCUGUUCUGAGAGGAAGAUCAGCCACACUGGGACUGAGACACGGCCCAGACUCCUACGGGAGGCAGCAGUUGGGAAUCUUGGACAAUGGGGGAAACCCUGAUCCAGCCAUGCCGCGUGAGUGAUGAAGGCCUUCGGGUUGUAAAACUCUUUCGACGGGGACAGUAAUGACGGUACCCGUAGAAGAGCUCCGGCUAACUUCGUGCCAGCAGCCG
rnacentral:rRNA from 1 species